AUAUUAAUGAGCGGAGGAAAAGAAACUAACAAGGAUUCCCCUAGUGACGGCGAGUGAAGCGGGAAUAGCUCAAGAUUAAAAUCGGCGGCCCAAGCGGGUCUUCGAGUUGUAAUCUAAAGACGCGAAGCCAGUAGUGACCUGGGUACAAGUUUUUUGGAAAAAAGCAUCAGAGAGGGUGAGAAUCCCGUCUUUGACCUGGAGUUCACUGCGUACGGUUCGUGUUCAACGAGUCGAGUUGUUUGGGACUGCAGCUCAAAUUGGGUGGUAAAUUUCAUCUAAAGCUAAAUACCAGCGAGAGACCGAUAGCGCACAAGUA
rnacentral:rRNA from 1 species